AGAGUUUGAUCCUGGCUCAGGAUGAACGCUAGCUACAGGCUUAACACAUGCAAGUCGAGGGGCAUCAGGAAGAAAGCUUGCUUUCUUUGCUGGCGACCGGCGCACGGGUGAGUAACACGUAUCCAACCUGCCCUUUACUCGGGGAUAGCCUUUCGAAAGAAAGAUUAAUACCCGAUAGCAUAAUGAUUCCGCAUGGUUUCAUUAUUAAAGGAUUCCGGUAAAGGAUGGGGAUGCGUUCCAUUAGGUUGUUGGUGAGGUAACGGCCCACCAAGCCUUCGAUGGAUAGGGGUUCUGAGAGGAAGGUCCCCCACAUUGGAACUGAGACACGGUCCAAACUCCUACGGGAGGCAGCAGUGAGGAAUAUUGGUCAAUGGGCGCUAGCCUGAACCAGCCAAGUAGCGUGAAGGAUGAAGGCUCUAUGGGUCGUAAACUUCUUUUAUAUAAGAAUAAAGUGCAGUAUGUAUACUGUUUUGUAUGUAUUAUAUGAAUAAGGAUCGGCUAACUCCGUGCCAGCAGCCGCGGUAAUACGGAGGAUCCGAGCGUUAUCCGGAUUUAUUGGGUUUAAAGGGAGCGUAGGUGGACUGGUAAGUCAGUUGUGAAAGUUUGCGGCUCAACCGUAAAAUUGCAGUUGAUACUGUCAGUCUUGAGUACAGUAGAGGUGGGCGGAAUUCGUGGUGUAGCGGUGAAAUGCUUAGAAAUCACGAAGAACUCCGAUUGCGAAGGCAGCUCACUGGACUGCAACUGACACUGAUGCUCGAAAGUGUGGGUAUCAAACAGGAUUAGAUACCCUGGUAGUCCACACAGUAAAACGAUGAAUACUCGCUGUUUGCGAUAUACAGUAAGCGGCCAAGCGAAAGCAUUAAGUAUUCCACCUGGGGAGUACGCCGGCAACGGUGAAACUCAAAGGAAUUGACGGGGGCCCGCACAAGCGGAGGAACAUGUGGUUUAAUUCGAUGAUACGCGAGGAACCUUACCCGGGCUUAAAUUGCAGUGGAAUGAUGUGGAAACAUGUCAGUGAGCAAUCACCGCUGUGAAGGUGCUGCAUGGUUGUCGUCAGCUCGUGCCGUGAGGUGUCGGCUUAAGUGCCAUAACGAGCGCAACCCUUAUCUUCAGUUACUAACAGGUCAUGCUGAGGACUCUGGAGAGACUGCCGUCGUAAGAUGUGAGGAAGGUGGGGAUGACGUCAAAUCAGCACGGCCCUUACGUCCGGGGCUACACACGUGUUACAAUGGGGGGUACAGAAGGCAGCUAGCGGGUGACCGUAUGCUAAUCCCAAAAUCCUCUCUCAGUUCGGAUCGAAGUCUGCAACCCGACUUCGUGAAGCUGGAUUCGCUAGUAAUCGCGCAUCAGCCACGGCGCGGUGAAUACGUUCCCGGGCCUUGUACACACCGCCCGUCAAGCCAUGGGAGCCGGGGGUACCUGAAGUACGUAACCGCAAGGAUCGUCCUAGGGUAAAACUGGUGACUGGGGCUAAGUCGUAACAAGGU
rnacentral:rRNA from 1 species